UUAAAAAGCUCGUAGUUGGAUUUCUGAUGGUGGUUGGAUGUAUUGGUGGCACUGCCGUCAGACACCACACUACUGUCAAAACAUGUGAUGAUUGGAUGUGGUUGAUUCAUUUCGAUCCGUCCUUAAAUCGCUCGUUUACUUUGAGAAAAUUAGAGUGUUCAAAGCAGGCAUUGUGCUUGAAUAUGUUAGCAUGGAAUAAUAGCAUAGGACUUCAUGUUCUAUUUGUUGGUUGUUCGAGAACUAGAGUAAUGAUUGAUAGGGACGGUUGGGGGCAUCCGUAUUCUCAAGCGAGAGGUGAAAUUCUUGGACCUUGGGAAGACGAACAGCUGCGAAAGCGUUUGCCUAGGACGUUCUCUUUAAUCAAGAACGAAAGUUGGGGGAUCGAAGACGAUCAGAUACCGUCGUAGUCUCAACUAUAAACUAUGCCAGCUAGGGAUCGGUGGUACUUCGUCACGAGUCCAUCGGCACCUUACGAGAAAUCAAAGCAUUUUGGGUUCCGGGGGGAGUAUGGUCGCAAGGCUGAAAC
rnacentral:rRNA from 1 species